rnacentral:lncRNA from 1 species
AGAGGAGUCCCAGGGGCCCCGCCCGAGGGCACCUCCAUCUCUCUGGGCUGGGCUGACUUCCCCGGUCCAGGGAGCCCCCGCUUCUUCAUUCGGCUCACUGAGCACUUGUGGGGGCACGACCUCAUCUUCUAAAGGCAUCUUUUCUUCCAAAUGGUCCAGCAAAUUCUUUAGAAAAGGAAACUUGAAAUCCAUCAGGUCUGCGUUGGACACGGCAUUGUACAUGGGAUUAGCUCU